CAGUCGCCGCGGGAAUACGUAGGUGGCAAGCGUUGUCCGGAAUUAUUGGGCGUAAAGGGCUCGCAGGCGGUUUCUUAAGUCUGAUGUGAAAGCCCCCGGCUCAACCGGGGAGGGUCAUUGGAAACUGGGAAACUUGAGUGCAGAAGAGGAGAGUGGAAUUCCACGUGUAGCGGUGAAAUGCGAAGAGAUGUGGAGGAACACCAGUGGCGAAGGCGACUCUCUGGUCUGUAACUGACGCUGAGGAGCGAAAGCGUGGGGAGCGAACAGGAUUAGAUACCCCCGUAGUCCCUGUCUCUUAUAC
rnacentral:rRNA from 1 species